GACGAACGCUGGCGGCGUGCUUAACACAUGCAAGUCGAACGGUGAAGGGGAGCUUGCUCCCCGGAUCAGUGGCGAACGGGUGAGUAACACGUGGGCAACCUGCCCCAGACUUCGGGAUAACGCUUCGAAAGAGGUGCUAAUACCGGAUACGAACUCCUUGGGCAUCCUUGGGGUUGGAAAGUUCUUCGGUCUGGGAUGGGCCCGCGGCCUAUCAGCUUGUUGGUGAGGUAACGGCUCACCAAGGCGACGACGGGUAGCCGGCCUGAGAGGGCGACCGGCCACACUGGGACUGAGACACGGCCCAGACUCCUACGGGAGGCAGCAGUGGGGAAUAUUGCGCAAUGGGCGAAAGCCUGACGCAGCAACGCCGCGUGAGGGAUGACGGCCUUCGGGUUGUAAACCUCUUUCAGCAGGGAAGAAGCGAAAGUGACGGUACCUGCAGAAGAAGCACCGGCUAACUACGUGCCAGCCGCCGCCGUAA
rnacentral:rRNA from 1 species